AUCCUUUGACCACUCUAGAGAUAGAGCUUCCCCUUCGGGGGCAAAGUGACAGGUGGUGCAUGGUUGUCGUCAGCUCGUGUCGUGAGAUGUUGGGUUAAGUCCCGCAACGAGCGCAACCCUUAUUGUUAGUUGCCAUCAUUUAGUUGGGCACUCUAGCAAGACUGCCGGUGACAAACCGGAGGAAGGUGGGGAUGACGUCAAAUCAUCAUGCCCCUUAUGACCUGGGCUACACACGUGCUACAAUGGGAAGUACAACGAGUCGCGAAGUCGCGAGGCUAAGCUAAUCUCUUAAAGCUUCUCUCAGUUCGGAUUGUAGGCUGCAACUCGCCUACAUGAAGCCGGAAUCGCUAGUAAUCGCGGAUCAGC
rnacentral:rRNA from 2 species